rnacentral:rRNA from 1 species
GGUGCAUGGUUGUCGUCAGCUCGUGUCGUGAGAUGUUGGUUAAGUCCCGCAACGAGCGCAACCCUCGACCUUAGUUGCCAGCAUUCAGUUGGGCACUCUAAGGUGACUGCCGGCUAAAAGUCGGAGGAAGGUGGGGAUGACGUCAAAUCAUCAUGCCCCUUAUGACCUGGGCUACACACGUGCUACAAUGGGCGGUACAAAGGGUCGCGAACCCGCGAGGGGGAGCCAAUCCCAAAAAGCCGCUCUCAGUUCGGAUUGCAGGCUGCAACUCGCCUGCAUGAAGCCGGAAUCGCUAGUAAUCGCGGAUCAGCAUGCCGCGGUGAAUACGUUCCCGGGCCUU